CCCGCCGCCGGCCCUGAGUCACCGGCCGGGCGGGGGUGGAAGUAACGGACGGGGGGCGCCGGGCGCGCUCCUCGCCUUAUUUAGUCAAGGAGGCCGCCGAUUGGCCGGCGGAACAAAGGGGCGGUGGCGGGCGGCCGGGGCGGGAGCGGAGGGGGCAGCGGCUGGCCCCCGCCCCCACCCCCGGUCCCCACCCCCGGCCGCCCGCGACCCCACAGCUCCGCUGCCGGCGCGGCCCCGAGGAUGGGGGUGGGGCUACCCGUGCCCGCGCCCCCCCCCCCAGGUCCGGCGGCUGCGGGGGGUGCGGGGGUGCGGGGCUGGGUCGCCUCCCGGCGGGGGGCGGGGGAGGAGGGGAGUGACGGCCCUUCUGGGAAGCACCGCCGGGAGCCGGGAGUACGUGGACGCGGAGGAGCCCUGCCCCAGCUCAGUGCUGGCUUUGGGCGAUUUAUUGUGACUUUGCUGCAUGUCAUUUUAUCUUCCAUGCGUUUAAUGGCUGAGGAAAUAGCGGGACGGGGAGGUGGGGUCACCUUGCAGGUAACUGUGGUGGGGCUGAGACUUAGCUCGAGGCCUUGCCUCCGGGUCCUGGGCACUGCCUGGCAACCCCACGUCGCUGUCAUCUCCCUGCUCUCUUCAGGGAUGGUCCCCAGGACUUCUGCACUUGGUAGCGUGGCCACCAGCCCACCUGCACCCCCUCCUCACCCUGCUAGCCUCCCACCUCUAGCCACCUCCCAACUAGUCAUUACUUGGCAGGCACACAGGGCAGGUGACUUGGUGAUGGGUCGGCGCCCCCAGCCUUUGGCCUGGCCAUUCCCACCUGCGAGGAAUGCCUUGCCUUCUCCAUGCAAAUGCGACGUGGGAUCCUGGUUUGGAUCCUGGGACACAAAAAAGGAAGGCAGCGGAAGAAGCGGUGAAAUCUGAGUAAAGUCUGGAGUUUAAUACCAAGUGCCAAAGUUCCUCGCGGUGACAGCCGAACCACGCCUGUGUAAGUUGUUACCUUAAGAGAAACUGAGUGGGGAGGCUACAGCAAAGCUCACGCGGUCUUUGCUACUUUUCUGUAAAUCUAAGAUUAUAAUAAAAACUUCGUUUUAGAACAUCUAA